GGAGGGUGCGAGCGUUGUUCGGAUUUAUUGGGCGUAAAGGGCGUGUAGGCGGUCAGAUAAGUCUGGUGUGAAAGCCCUUGGCUUAACCAAGGAAUGUCGCUGGAAACUGUCUGACUUGAGUACGAGAGAGGAGAGUGGAAGUCCCGGUGUAGAGGUGAAAUUCGUAGAUAUCGGGAGGAACACCGGUGGCGGAGGCGGCUCCCUGGACCGGCACUGACGCUGAGGUGCGAAAGCGUGAGUAGCAAACAGGGAUUAGAUACCCUGGUAGUCCACGCCGUAAACGAUGGGCACUAGGUGCAGCGGGUGUCGACCCCCCCUGCUGUGCCGGAGCUAACGCAUUAGUGCCCCCGCCUGGGGAUACGGUCGCAAGGCUG
rnacentral:rRNA from 1 species